UUUUCAUCUCUGAGGCUGCUAGCUCUUCUUGCCUCUGUUAGCUUUCCAGUUUCCUUGGAAAAUUUAUUCCUGUGAAGUCAUAAAGUGCUUGAAGAACUUGAUUCAUUGUCCUCUCACUCUGCAAAUUGUAUUGGCUGCAGUAGAACUGAGCAGUGGUGGAAGCUCUAAGUUGUGCACGUCCCAAGUGUUUGAAGCAGUCCUGCUCUCGCAGAUAAGUCUUUCUUUUCUUAUCAUCUCACAGAUCUGCUCUGUUUGUGUAUCUGCCUCUUACAGAACACGGCCUGUUUGUGUUCUGGGAACAGAAAAUGUAUUUGUGAAAUUCUUUCCUGUUUUAGAAAAAGAUGGCCUUUGGUCAAUUGUACUUUUUCUCUUCUGCAAGUUCCAGCUCAAAUCAGACCAGUCAUUUUUUAGCUCUCUUGUGCACUGACUGCCAUGCACAGUAUUUUCCCAAACUCAAUAUUCUCUCCUUUCUAUCUGCUUUUGAGCUUGAGAUCUCUCAAUUGGUAUUUCUGUAUGCGUUUCCUCAUCUGGAGUUUCCAUUUGCUGUUAAUUUAUGUCUAUUCAGAUCCACUGUCAGCAGUUUGGGUUUUUUUUGCCUUCACAUUUCUGCUUAGAAUUUUAAUGGAGUGUUUUCUCAAAGUAUUGUUUGUUUUUGCAGAGGGAGUUGUGUUGUUUUAUGCCAAGGCCUCCUUAAACAGGCUGAAAUGUGUCCUUGGGGUGACGAGAGGCGUUUGAGACGUUUCUAAGAUGAUGUACAUGACUCUCUCAGCACGACAAUCCAUUGAAGACAUUUGUUAUUUGCAGUCUUUGACUACCUCUUUCAUGUGCUGCCUGAAUCUGAUAAGCUCCACCAGUUGGGAGUAGUGACUCAGCUCAAGAAAUAAAACCAGCUAUUGCAAUCACAGGAUACAGCCUUUGUGUUGUGAGAAGUGCAGUUCUUGUGGCCUAGAGGAAUUCUGGCCGUCUCAGCUGUGCGAUGGAUCUGGAAAAGGAGAAAAUUCCUCCAGUUUUGUGCUUCUGUUGGCUUCUGUAAACUGUGGAUCAGUGCCUCCACUAAAUGGGAUAUGCCAGCAAGGUGGAUGGAAAUCCAUUUUCAGGAAGGAACAUGAAAGACACAUCUGGAAACUGUUGCAGGAGAAUCUCAUGCACGAUGCAGCUGAGGUGCUUCACAUCCCUGGUUUUCUCUGCUGGCCAUGUUCUUCAUGUGGGCUGUGCAACAGAUGCAGAUGAUAGAGAAGAUGGAGGAAUAACUUUAGGAUAUCCGUAUGGGUGUCCUGCAGCCAUUAAGCACAAGAAGAGAUGACUUUCAUCAAGAGAGGUAGCCACACUAGUCAAGGAGAUACUGUGUCACCCUGGUGAUUCAAGGGGAAAAAGAAUAAUCUUGACUUUCUAUAGAAGUUUAAAUGAAAACUUAAAGGUGCCAGCCAUUUCUACAGGGUGGAGAGGCUGCUCUUUAAUGAAGGAAUGACACAAAUCCUUUUGCUAACCACAGCACAAGAUUCUCUGUUUUGUUAUCUUCAUGGAAUAUUAAAGCAAUUUAAUACAUUGAAAUAAUAUUGCAAAGCUUACGGUUGUAAAGUUUUGAAUCUAAUUAUGCCCUACCUAUCUUUCUUCUACCAAAGUCUAAAGUUGCUCACAGCUCAACAGCUCUAGUUCCUAGCCACCAACUUCCUCCUACCAUCAACAGAGAUAAAAGCAUGUCAUCUCACAGCACUUUGUUCUAUUCUUAGAGGGUACCUAACGAGUGUCCUAUUUGACCAGACACCUUCAUUACCAAUGUUGGUUUCAGGUGAGGUGAAGCCAUUCUGUUCCAUGGCUGUCUUUUUACCUCAACUACAGCUAAUCAGAAGAGGAUCAAACAGAUCUCUUAAAAUGCCCACACAGAAAUUACUCAGUAAAGUGAAACAUUUUGUAACACUUUCUUGCCUUUUUCUCUCCUGAAGCAAUGAUUAUCAUCUCUUAAUUGAGUUGUCACAGAUUCCAAGGUGUGUUGGUAACAGCUUUACAGGUUGUCAUUUGUGCACUAAUCAUGUCUCAGUAACUUAAAAUG